AUCCUAGACCUUGGUAGUCUGCGGGUUAACAGUGAGCUGCAGAAGGACACAACAGCCCUGGAAGAUGCAACUCCUACAGAGAUAGAAGCAAGACUCUAUGACAAGUUUGUCAUCAGAAUCACAGAUAUACAAGUCCUACUUGUUGAGCCAGGUGCAGACUGGAGGGAAGCCCUUCAGGCCAGAGAGUCUAGACAUCAUAUCUUACCAGGUUUAUGCCUUCAGAUCAACACUUUCAUUAGUGCUAAGCCAGACUACCAACAGCUU